GAUCAUGGCUCAGGACGAACGCUGGCGGCGUGCUUAACACAUGCAAGUCGAACGGAAGGGCCCUGCUUUUGUGGGGUGCUCGAGUGGCGAACGGGUGAGUAACACGUGAGUAACCUGCCCUUGACUUUGGGAUAACUUCAGGAAAACUGGGGCGUAAUAACGGAUAGGAGCUCCUGCUGCAUGGUGGGGGUUGGGAAAGUUUCGGCGGUUGGGGAGUGGACUCGCGGCUUAUCAGCUUGUUGGUGGGGUAGUGGCUU
rnacentral:rRNA from 1 species